GUCACCAAUCUCAGAGUUUGGUUCUUGACGAACUUAAUCUCCCAUAAUGCUUCGUGUACUCGUAGAACUCUGUGCGGAGACUACACGUCCCAGAAGCCCUGAAGUGUAAGCUUGAAGUGUCAUCAUUGAGGCCGACAUAGCCGUCUCGGGGCCAGUGGCGCAAUGGAUAACGCGUCUGACUACGGAUCAGAAGAUUCCAGAUGGCCUCUACUGUGUGGCAAGCAUGAUGCUGAACGGUUCCAGGUUUUCUUCUGAUGGCCUGAUAAAAACAACCCAGUUCUCAUAAUUGUUCUCUCCAUCUGCCUGCAAUCCUUGGGUCAGGAAGAUCCCCUGGAGAAGGGUAUUCUUGCCUGAAGAAUUCCAUGGACAGAGGAGCCUGGCGGUCACAAACAG